rfam:Operophtera brumata OBRT01_Sc01188, whole genome shotgun sequence.
UACAAGGCCCUAUUCAGGGCCACCUUACUUCAAUCUUACCUUCCAA